GAUGAACGCUGGCGGCGUGCCUAAUACAUGCAAGUCGAGCGAACAGACGAGGAGCUUGCUCCUUUGACGUUAGCGGCGGACGGGUGAGUAACACGUGGGUAACCUACCUAUAAGACUGGGAUAACUUCGGGAAACCGGAGCUAAUACCGGAUAAUAUUUCGAACCGCAUGGUUCGAUAGUGAAAGAUGGCUUUGCUAUCACUUAUAGAUGGACCUGCGCCGUAUUAGCUAGUUGGUAAGGUAACGGCUUACCAAGGCAACGAUACGUAGCCGACCUGAGAGGGUGAUCGGCCACACUGGAACUGAGACACGGUCCAGACUCCUACGGGAGGCAGCAGUAGGGAAUCUUCCGCAAUGGGCGAAAGCCUGACGGAGCAACGCCGCGUGAGUGAUGAAGGUCUUCGGAUCGUAAAACUCUGUUAUUAGGGAAGAACAAACGUGUAAGUAACUGUGCACGUCUUGACGGUACCUAAUCAGAAAGCCACGGCUAACUACGUGCCAGCAGCCGCGGUAAUACGUAGGUGGCAAGCGUUAUCCGGAAUUAUUGGGCGUAAAGCGCGCGUAGGCGGUUUUUUAAGUCUGAUGUGAAAGCCCACGGCUCAACCGUGGAGGGUCAUUGGAAACUGGAAAACUUGAGUGCAGAAGAGGAAAGUGGAAUUCCAUGUGUAGCGGUGAAAUGCGCAGAGAUAUGGAGGAACACCAGUGGCGAAGGCGACUUUCUGGUCUGUAACUGACGCUGAUGUGCGAAAGCGUGGGGAUCAAACAGGAUUAGAUACCCUGGUAGUCCACGCCGUAAACGAUGAGUGCUAAGUGUUAGGGGGUUUCCGCCCCUUAGUGCUGCAGCUAACGCAUUAAGCACUCCGCCUGGGGAGUACGACCGCAAGGUUGAAACUCAAAGGAAUUGACGGGGACCUGCACAAGCGGUGGAGCAUGUGGUUUAAUUCGAAGCAACGCGAAGAACCUUACCAAAUCUUGACAUCCUUUGACCCUUCUAGAGAUAGAAGCUUCCCCUUCGGGGGACAAAGUGACAGGUGGUGCAUGGUUGUCGUCAGCUCGUGUCGUGAGAUGUUGGGUUAAGUCCCGCAACGAGCGCAACCCUUAAGCUUAGUUGCCAUCAUUAAGUUGGGCACUCUAAGUUGACUGCCGGUGACAAACCGGAGGAAGGUGGGGAUGACGUCAAAUCAUCAUGCCCCUUAUGAUUUGGGCUACACACGUGCUACAAUGGACAAUACAAAGGGCAGCGAAACCGCGAGGUCAAGCAAAUCCCAUAAAGUUGUUCUCAGUUCGGAUUGUAGUCUGCAACUCGACUACAUGAAGCUGGAAUCGCUAGUAAUCGUAGAUCAGCAUGCUACGGUGAAUACGUUCCCGGGUCU
rnacentral:rRNA from 1 species